CAAGACGUAGCUUAAAUAAAAGCAUUCAGCUUACACCUGAAAAAUGUCUGUUAACACCAGAUCGUCUUGA
rnacentral:tRNA from 1 species